ensembl:snoRNA
AUUAUUUUGUAGUUCAUAAGCGUGAUGACUGGGUGUUCACACGCAGGUGCAAGUUGUGCCACCCUCGAACCUUGUUACAACGUUGGCACUUUACCCAUCAGACA